CCCCUUUAAAUUUCUAGAAAAAAGACUUAUACUUAAGAUGUCAGGGUAACUUGACUAUAGUGAUAAACGUCCUACGGAAUAGGCGUUACGGACUCGGGGGCGGAACCCGGCACCUCCACCAUUAAGGUAUUGAUUAUGGGGGUGAAUUAGGAUCGACGUGCGUAGUAAAGGUUAGAUUUUCACUCGGCAUGGUACCACCGUUAUCGGACUAAACACAUAAAUGCAAAAGAUUUUAAUGCAUUUGGUCGUGGAGCGGCAAACUUUAGUGCGCUCAACUCCAACGAGGUUAAUGUCGCUGCAGCUGCAGCCGCUUAACCUUAAGGUGAUCGCGGUUCGAGGGGCACCGGGCAACAGAAGCCCCUCAUU
rnacentral:tmRNA from 1 species